rnacentral:rRNA from 1 species
GACGAACGCUGGCGGCGUGCCUAAUACAUGCAAGUAGAACGCUGAAGGAGGAGCUUGCUUCUCUGGAUGAGUUGCGAACGGGUGAGUAACGCGUAGGUAACCUGCCUGGUAGCGGGGGAUAACUAUUGGAAACGAUAGCUAAUACCGCAUAAUAGUAGAUGUUGCAUGACAUUUGCCUAAAAGGUGCAAUUGCAUCACUACCAGAUGGACCUGCGUUGUAUUAGCUAGUUGGUGGGGUAACGGCUCACCAAGGCGACGAUACAUAGCCGACCUGAGAGGGUGACCAGCGAAACGGGAAGUGAGAAAAGGUCAAGAGGCCGAAGGGAGGCAGCAGUGGGGAAUAUGGCAAAAUGGGGGGAAGCAUGAUGCAGAAAUGACGGGUGUAGGAAGAAGGGGUUAGGGGUGGAAAGUACUGGGAGCGGGGAGGAAGGGAGGAAAGGGAAUACCGGUGCGCAGUGACGUUAACCGCAGAAGAAGAAACGGCUAACUCCGGG